GACAGCACACACCUGGGUUAUAUGGUGCUGUAGUUGUCUUUCGCCUUUACUGUUACAGGGACCAUCCCUCUGAGUGUUGAGGCUCAGCUUGUGGAGUAUUGAGUCCCUGCAGUGUCAGUCUAGGUGGGAACUUGAGUCAAGGUGUCGCCUCUGAAAGGCACCAAAGUCUGACCUGGAGGAAGGCAACCCAGCCGUCCACUGGUGGCGCUUGCACUGGGGAAGCAGGUGUUAACCUUGUUCUAUGAGGAGAUGGGUUGUGGGUGCUUGCGAGUUUGGGAGAGAAAACUAAGAUAAUCUUUGUUGCCCUGAGAACU
rnacentral:lncRNA from 1 species